rnacentral:rRNA from 1 species
GAUGAACGCUGGCGGCGUGCCUAAUACAUGCAAGUCGAGCGAACAGACGAGGAGCUUGCUCCUCUGACGUUAGCGGCGGACGGGUGAGUAACACGUGGAUAACCUACCUAUAAGACUGGGAUAACUUCGGGAAACCGGAGCUAAUACCGGAUAAUAUAUUGAACCGCAUGGUUCAAUAGUGAAAGACGGUUUUGCUGUCACUUAUAGAUGGAUCCGCGCCGCAUUAGCUAGUUGGUAAGGUAACGGCUUACCAAGGCGACGAUGCGUAGCCGACCUGAGAGGGUAAUCGGCCACACUGGAACUGAGACACGGUCCAGACUCCUACGGGAAGCAGCAGUAGGGAAUCUUCCGCAAUGGGCGAAAGCCUGACGGAGCAACGCCGCGUGAGUGAUGAAGGUCUUCGGAUCGUAAAACUCUGUUAUUAGGGAAGAACAAAUGUGUAAGUAACUAUGCACGUCUUGACGGUACCUAAUCAGAAAGCCACGGCUAACUACGUG